rnacentral:rRNA from 1 species
CAGCCGCCGCGGGAAUACGAAGGGGGCUAGCGUUGUUCGGAUUUACUGGGCGUAAAGGGCGCGUAGGCGGGCUGAUCAGUCAGGGGUGAAAUCCCAAGGCUCAACCUUGGAACUGCCUUUGAUACUGUCGGUCUUGAGUUCGAGAGAGGUAAGUGGAACUGCGAGUGUAGAGGUGAAAUUCGUAGAUAUUCGCAAGAACACCAGUGGCGAAGGCGGCUUACUGGCUCGAAACUGACGCUGAGGCGCGAAAGCGUGGGGAGCAAACAGGAUUAGAUACCCCAGUAGUCCCUGUCUCUUAUAC